GCCAGCAUAGCUCAGUUGGUAGAGCAGCUGAUUCGUAAUCAGCAGGUCUGGAGUUCGAGUCUCCAUGCUGG
rnacentral:tRNA from 1 species